CGACAGCCAUCUCCAACACCGAUAGUCCUCUCCAUCACAUCCUCUCUCUUCUUUCCUACCCAACAUCACUCACCAUCUCUGUCAUCCUAAACCUCCCAAUCAUUGCCCUAACAGUCAUGGUUGUGCUGCUCGGUCGCCUUAGAAAAUUAUACGACAACAACCUUCCCUACCCCACAUCUACACCAAAGUCAAGUUGAACCCUUCUCGGGUUUAUUCACCUUCUUCCCUACCCAACAUCACUCACCAUCUCUGUCAUCCUAAACCUCCCAAUUGUUGCCCUAACAGUCAUGGUUGUGCUGCUCGGUCGCCUUAGAAAAUUAUACGACAACAACCUUCCCCACCCCACAUCUGCACCAAAGUCAAGUUGAACCCUUCUCGGGUUUAUUCACCUUCUUCCCUACCCAACAUCAUUCACCAUCUCUGUCAUCCUAAACCUCCUAAUUGUUGCCCUAACAGUCAUGGUUGUGCUGCUCGGUCGCCUUAGAAAAUUAUACGACAACAACCUUCCCCACCCCGCAUCUACACCAAAGUCAAGUUGAACCCUUCUCGGGUUUAUUCACCUUCUUCCCUACCCAACAUCACUCACCAUCUCUGUCAUCCUAAACCUCCCAAUUGUUGCCCUAACAGUCAUGGUUGUGCUGCUCGGUCGCCUUAGAAAAUUAUACGACAACAACCUUCCCCACCCCCACAUCUACACCAAAGUCAAGUUGAACCAUUCUCGGGUUUAUUCACCUUCUUCCCUACCCAACAUCACUCACCAUCUCUGUCAUCCUAAACCUCCCCAAUCGUUGCCCUAACAGUCAUGGUUGUGCUGCUCAGUCGCCUUAGAAAAUUAUACGACAACAACCUUCCCGUUCCCACAUCUACACCA
rnacentral:lncRNA from 1 species